GAUGAACGCUGGCGGCGUGCUUAACACAUGCAAGUCGAACGAGAAAUGUAGACGUACACGUUCGGGCGGAGGCCUUCAUUUCGAGUGGCGGCCUGGGGAGUAACUCGUGGGUAACCUGCCUCAUUCAGGGGGGUAACAGUUGGAAACGACAGGUAAUACCGCCUAAGACCAGGGCAUCGCAUGAUGCGGGGGUUAAAACUCCGGUGGUAUGAUAUGGACCCGCGUUCGAUUAGCCAGUUGGCGGGGUAACGGCCCACCAAAGCGACGAACGGUAGCCGAGCUGAGAGGAGGACCGGCCACAUCUGGGCUGAGGACCGGCCCCAACUCCUACGGGAGGGAGGAGGGGGGGAUAUUGCAACAGGGGGCAAAACCUGAAGCAGCGACGGCGGGGGAGGGAAGAAGUACUUCGGGAUGUAAAGCCCUAUUAGCAGGGAAGAAAAUGACGGUACCUGAGAAAGAAGCCCCGGCUAACUACGUG
rnacentral:rRNA from 1 species